rnacentral:rRNA from 1 species
AUUGAACGCUGGCGGCAUGCCUUACACAUGCAAGUCGAACGGUAACAGGUCUUCGGAUGCUGACGAGUGGCGAACGGGUGAGUAAUAUAUCGGAACGUGCCCAGUAGUGGGGGAUAGCCCGGCGAAAGCCGGAUUAAUACCGCAUACGACCUGAGGGAGAAAGGGGGGGAUUCGCAAGAACCUCUCGCUAUUGGAGCGGCCGAUAUCAGAUUAGGUAGUUGGUGGGGUAAAGGCCUACCAAGCCUGCGAUCUGUAGUUGGUCUGAGAGGACGACCAGCCACACUGGGACUGAGACACGGCCCAGACUCCUACGGGAGGCAGCAGUGGGGAAUUUUGGACAAUGGGCGCAAGCCUGAUCCAGCAAUGCCGCGUGCAGGAAGAAGGCCUUCGGGCUGUAAACUGCUUUUGUCAGGGAAGAAAUCCUCUGGGUUAAUACCUCGGGGGGAUGACGGUACCUGAAGAAUAAGCACCGGCUAACUACGUGCCAGCAGCCGCAGUAAAAC